GAAUCUUAGACAAUGGGGGAAACCCUGAUCUAGCCAUGCCGCGUGAGUGACGAAGGCCCUAGGGUCGUAAAGCUCUUUCGCCAAGGAAGAUAAUGACUGUACCUGGUAAAGAAACCCCGGCUAACUCCGUGCCAGCAGCCGCGGUAAUACGGAGGGGGUUAGCGUUGUUCGGAAUUACUGGGCGUAAAGCGCACGGAGGCGGACUAUUAAGUCAGGGGUGAAAUCCCGGGGCUCAACCCCGGAACUGCCCUUGAUACUGGUAGUCUUGAGUUCGAGAGAGGUGAGUGGAACUCCGAGUGUAGAGGUGAAAUUCGUAGAUAUUCGGAAGAACACCAGUGGCGAAGGCGGCUCACUGGCUCGAUACUGACGCUGAGGGUGCGAAAGCGUGGGGAGCAAACAGG
rnacentral:rRNA from 1 species